rnacentral:lncRNA from 1 species
GACCCCAGCUGUGAUACAAGGACAUCUGCAAGUGGGAUCUGAAGGCCUUAGGAAUGGACCUCAACAGAUGGGAAACCUUGACCUCUGAGCAUUCAGCCUGGUGGUGCAUCAUGGCCUCUCCCAAUUUGAAGAGACCCUCGUCCAGCAGGCUGAGGCAAAGAGGCAGUUACGAAAGCAGCAAAAUCAGGGAGCUGGACAGGGGACAGAUUGGAUUUGUCUUCAGUGUGGAAGGGACUGUCACUCUCGAAUUGGGCUUCUCAGCCACACUAGAUGACACUGUCCAACCAUCUCAUCCUCUAGGUUCAGGACUUGUUUGGUGGGCCCCGUUUUCAUCUCACUAUUACACUUAGCACUGCCUGUUUGGUUAUGUGCCUCUGAGCCCAGGAUCUGCCUGGUUUCAUUGAGUGAGAGGGCCCCGAAGUUGGCAUCAUGCCCCUGUUGAAGCAACAGGGUUUGGCUGGCCCCCCAACACUGCCAGUUUCUGGCCCUACAGACAAAGAAGGAGCAGCUACUAAGCUUUCAUGGCCGGCUUCUACUGUUUUCUUGUUUACCAGGAGACUCAGAAGGAGAAAAGCUGCAGAGAUACCACUGGGAAACCCUCCUCGCUUUGUUUCAACCAUCCCAUGUUGCUACCCUUGAAUGAAUGCAAAGGGUUAAAACAGCUAGCCCUUGCAAUGUCCACAGAAGAUUACCUUUUGCAAUCUCAGCCUUUUGCAAUCUCAGCCAGCCCCCUGCACGCCUCAUGGUCAUUUUUUUUUCUCCCUGUUAAAAGGGUCCCCUGGCAGCUGUCCUCGGCAUUCAUCCAGCAGAUAUCAGCUCGUAUUGGCACACGAGCUGGAGCUGCAUGACCUGUUUCCUCCCCCCCUCGCAUCUUGACAGCAGAAGCAUUGUUCCUGGGGCGUACCCAGAAUUUGCAAUGGGUUGCCGUUGUUGGCUAGGCCUGGCCUUUCUUCUGGUGCUAGCCGCCCCCAGCUCCCCAACUGGUGAUGUGGCUAUGGUGAAGAGACAUGCCGCCGACCUGCGGGCACUCUUCUCAGAAGAAGAAGACAGUGCAGAAGCACAAGAGGAGGAGCGCCGCCUGAUGCCCACAUUCAAUACUUGCAUGCUUCAUUGUAUUUCCCAAGCGAUGUCGAGCACGGUGAGCAUAAAAAGAAGCAUGACACUCUCUCAAGGCACGCAAGGUAAGGACCAUGAAUUUUGCUGGGGGCUGCGCCUCCGUUCCAGGAAGGGAAAAAGGCUCACCAAAGCCUUUCUGUUCUUCAACCUUGAGCAGCCUCUGAAUGGGAGCCAGCCAUCUUCUUACCACCUCCUUCUCACCACUCCUCCGGCACAGCUUCAGCAUGUGUCACCCGGGCAGGGGAAUUGGACCACCAGGCUGUUGAGCAGCAAAGCGUGCGGCCUCCACUUCGAUGUGACGGAGCCGUUCCGCCGUGCUGAAGGAGGCCAGGACACUGAGAUGUGCGUCCAGGCCAUCCGCCCAAAGGAAGGUGUCUGGGAGGCCUUUCAGCUUCGCCUGCAGUGCCCGCCUUUUUUGGCCGCUUUGUGGCGAAGGCUUCUCCGGCCUGAUGGCUAGGUGACCAGAACGGAGAUCCACCUUUGCUCCGUAAUGGAGGGUGACACCUAGCAAUUGGGGGAUGAAAGGUGGGAGGGAGGUAGCCCAGAUUCAUAUGCGCACUCUCACACUCCAGUUCAACUGCUGAGAUGCCAGAGGCAGCACCAUGACAGACUUUAUUACUACACAAGUCUUCCUAACUCCAGCAGCAUAUAAUACGUUGAACUAACAGCACCAUGACAGACUACACAAGUCUUCCCAACUCCAGCAGCAUAUAAUACGUUGAACUACAAAGCCUAUAGUUACUAGUCAUGCUGGUUCACAAGACUGUUAUUGUACUAUGCUACCUCUGGAGAGUGCAAAGUUGGGAAAGAGUCACGUGGUGUCAUCAGAUUUCAAUGAGCUGGGUGUCAUCUUUUUCCAUUAAUGUGAGGGUGCCAUUCCCAAGGUUGCGAAGCCACAUGGGUGUUGUAGUGAGGGAAACCUCUCCUAGCAUCCUGUGGCUGGUUCUGAGGGGAGGCGCUGCCAUCAUUCUCCCUCCUUCUCAUUAUCAUAGAGAGCGUGCCAUAGAGGUCUUUCUUUAGGCCAAUCAGAGGGCUUGAUUAAUUGCCUUUCUCCGGACCAACCCUAAUUACAUGAUGUAACCAUUGUCCUAUCUGAACCCUAUUUACUAUCUGUAAUGCUGUCACUACCUGUGACCUUGUGAUGUUAAUAAAAGAGCAGUCUCCUGGGGGCA